AAAUUUACUGCAGCCGACCUGCUGAAGAUAGGACCAUUCCUUUGACUGUCAUUGCUGAGCGUACUAAACUUUCCAUUGAAGAUGCUGAGCACCUUCUCAUGAAGAGUCUUUCUGUGCAUCUGAUUGAGGGGUUUAUAGAUCAAGUGAAUGGAACAGUUUAUAUCUCAUGGGCGCAACCGAGAGUGUUGGGGAUUCCACAGAUCAAGUCUUUGAGGGAUCAAUUGGACAGUUGGGUCGACAAAGUUCACACCACUUUGCUAUCUGUUGAGGCUGAGACACCAGAUCUUGUUGCGGCAUAA